rnacentral:rRNA from 1 species
AUGAACUCCGAGAUUAUCGAUCGAAUUAGGAAGAGGAGAAGUGAGGAUGAUGAAGAUAUGAUGUCCUUUAUUCUGCCUGUAUUGCAUUGAAUGCAUAAUAGAGGAUCAGUCGAGAGAAAGGAGCGACAUAUCUCUAUCCAAUAUGGCAAGAAGCAUGUUGACGAUAUCCUUAGAGGGCAUGUUAAGAAUUUCCUCGUAGCUUAUAUGAUGGAGCCACGUAUCUUUCGGGCUUUGACAUCUUAUCUUAGAAGAGAAAAUCUCAUAUCUGAUACAAGAAUUAAGGUGGAGGAGAAGUUAGCCUUUUUCCUGUACAUGGUGUCUCACAACGCGUCUUAUGAAGAUCUCCAGCUAGAAUUUCAGCAUAGUGGACAAACAUUUCAUGCGUACAUCAAUGAGUUCUUCAACAUCGUCCCCGUAUUAGCUACUCGAUUUCUGAAGCCUCCGAACAUUGAUGAGCCACAUCCAAAAAUCUCCACCGACACAAGAUUCUAUCCUUACUUCCAGGUUUCCAUUUUUAAGGCUUCCACAAUUCCUCUUCUUAUCUAA